rnacentral:rRNA from 1 species
UGGCGGACGGGUGAGUAACGCGUGGGUAACCUGCCUCAUACAGGGGAGUAACAGUUAGAAAUGACUGCUAAUACCGCAUAAGACCACAGCACCGCAUGGUGCAGGGGUAAAAACUCCGGUGGUAUGAGAUGGACCCGCGUCUGAUUAGGUAGUUGAUGGGGUAACGGCCUACCAAGCCGACGAUCAGUAGCCGACCUGAGAGGGUGACCGGCCACAUUGGGACUGAGACACGGCCCAA